rnacentral:rRNA from 1 species
AAUCAACGCUGGCGGCGUGCCUAACACAUGCAAGUCGAACGCGAAAGUGGAGCAAUCCAUGAGUAGAGUGGCAAACGGGUGAGUAACACGUGGGUAACCUGCCUCAUAGAGGGGGAUAGCCUCCCGAAAGGGAGAUUAAUACCGCAUAAUAUGUAUUGAUUGCAUGAUCAAUACAUUAAAGGAGAAAUCCGCUAUGAGAUGGACCCGCGGCGCAUUAGCUAGUUGGAGAGGUAACGGCUCACCAAGGCGACGAUGCGUAGCCGACCUGAGAGGGUGAUCGGCCACAUUGGAACUGAGAAACGGUCCAGACUCCUACGGGAGGCAGCAGUGGGGAAUAUUGCACAAUGGGGGAAACCCUGAUGCAGCAACGCCGCGUGAGUGAAGAAGGCCUUCGGGUUGUAAAGCUCUGUCAUUGGGGACGAUAAUGACGGUACCCAAUGAGGAAGCCACGGCUAACUACGUGCCAGCCGCCGCGGUAAGAC